rnacentral:rRNA from 1 species
GUGAGGAAUAUUGCGCAAUGGAGGCAACUCUGACGCAGCCAUGCCGCGUGCAGGAAGAAGGCGCUACGCGUUGUAAACUGCUUUUAACCGGGAAGAAACCCCAGGACGUGUCCUGGGUUGACGGUACCGGAGGAAUAAGCACCGGCUAACUUCGUGCCAGCAGCCGCGGUAAUACGAAGGGUGCAAGCGUUAUCCGGACUCAUUGGGUUUAAAGGGUGCGUAGGCGGAGCGUUAAGUCAGUGGUGAAAUCCUGCAGCUUAACUGUAGACUUGCCAUUGAUACUGGCGCUCUUGAGUGCGCUUGAAGUGGGCGGAAUGUGCCGUGUAGCGGUGAAAUGCUUAGAUAUGGCACAGAACACCAAUUGCGAAGGCAGCUCACUAAGGCGAUACUGACGCUGAGGCACGAAAGCGUGGGGAUCGAACAGGAUUAGAUACCCGUGUAGUCC